AGUGAGUCCAGUCACCAGUGUUGUGAUAGCAGUGGCUAACCUCUGUUAGCGCAAGUCACUUGGUGAAUAUCUGUUGGUGUAAAAGGUCUUGCUCCUUAUCGUGACUUGAUAUAAUCAAUUCAGCAUCUCAGAAGAAGAAUGUUACUACGGCUACUGCUACCGGGAAUAUUAAUUCUGGCUCACUAUUCAAAGUCAGUGGUGAUCCGAAAUCAGGUCAACAGCACCGAACCUCCCCCAUCCAACACGACCUCUGAGCCUUGCACUUGUGUCGUCUCCUUCUUGUGUCAAGCCUCAGACUUUGUAAGUCCAGAGAACGGAGGCCGAUGUGCUAACAGUGCCCAAGUAUGCUGCAAGGAACCCUUCACAGGCACUAAUACAGAAAGAUGCUCAGCUCCAGGAACGAGCUUCGGAUAUUGUGUCGAGUUUAAAAACUGCAUCGAAGAAAUGAUGCCUCAUAUCAGCGCAGUUCCCUUCCCUGACUUCGUCGCAAGAUUUGGGUGCGGAAGGGAGAGUCCUGAAGGAAAUGUCAGGGUGUGUUGUUCGACCAGACAAAGCUAACAAUAUACGUCCAUGCUCAGGGACUCAAUGCAUAAUAAUCCAACUUAAGUCGUGGCUAAAUUAUUGCUGCUUCUCAAAUCAUUAUCAUUGCUGUUGUUGUGACUUUGUAUAUAGCCAGACUAUUGUGACAUGAAAAUCGCGCAGUUAUUUGAAAGACGAGCUUCGUCAAGUCCAAAGUGUUGUCGCAAAGGCCGAUGGGCCUUUCUCCAGCCCACUCACGGGUAAACAAGGAAGUUUCAAAGGUUGGAUAGAGGAUGAAUUCAGUUAGCUGACGUCACAGGCAUCCAGGGAGCCGUCCUAUUUUCAUCAGUGCGAAGAUGUUUCCAAUGGUGUACAAUAUCUAGCUACAACGCUUCACUUUAGUGAUUCAAAAAGAAUGCCGAACUCCUGAAUGGACAACUAAUAUGGGUUGUAUACUUUACUGAUAAAACAUAAAUACCCCGAAAGUACCAGAUAAGACAACUAAUCUGUGUUGCCCUGUAUCUAUAAAUGGCAUCCUCACGGAAUGACAUGGAACAUAAUUCUCGAGGUCAAAAGGAAAAAAAGAAAACUGAUGAAUGACCUAUGUCUUGCUGUAAUUUAAUGGCAUUCCAUGAACUGAAAAAAAAGUGAGAGAUUGUGAUAACUGUCACAUUUGAAAAAUAUAACUUCUUUCUCUUUAUCUUGUUUUCUUUUACCUGGGGCUCUAUCGGAAAUUACUUCUAAUUCUAAGUUAAUGAACGUGGCAGGUUCGUGCUUGUCAAAAGUUUAACAAUUAAAAAACAUACAUGAAUGAAUCCUGAAACGUAUGGCUGUGUGUCUGCAACAGAGUGCAUCCAUAGUACAUACGCAUGAGACUUCAUCAAGUUUUUAUACGCUUUUUUUUCGAAGGAUAAAACACUUGAACUGAUUAUGUAUAUACUUGUUAGCCUUGUACUAUACAUUCGAUGUAAGUGAACUUUACAUUUCCGUCCUUACGUGUUUCACAAGAAAUACUU